rnacentral:rRNA from 1 species
GAUGAACGCUGACAGAAUGCUUAACACAUGCAAGUCGAUGGGGAAGUGGUGCUUGCACCAUGGUAACCAUGGCGGACGGGUGAGUAACGCGUAAGGAACUUGCCUGCGGGACUGGGAUAACAGCAGGAAGCUGCUGAUAAUACCGGAUAAGGUCAUUAAGCUGCAUAGCUUAGUGAUGAAAGGAGACGCCUGCGGAGAGCCUUGCGUCCUAUUAGCUAGUUGGAGGGGUAACGGCCCACCAAGGCGAAGAUAGGUAGCCGGCCUGAGAGGGUGGAUGGCCACAAGGGGACUGAGAUACGGCCCUUACUCCUACGGGAGGCAGCAGUGGGGAAUAUUGGACAAUGGGGGCAACCCUGAUCCAGCAAUUCUGUGUGCACGAAGACGGUUUUCGGAUUGUAAAGUGCUUUCAGCAGGGAAGAAGGAAGUGACGGUACCUGCAGAAGAAGCGACGGCUAAAUACGUG